CACGUGACGGAGGCGGACCAACCAAGUGCACCGUUUUUUUUUUGUCACGUGCGACACGUAACGACGACUAUCAGCGUUUAUAUUUUUAACGAGUGAGUGAUGAGGCUGAAACUUGAACUUGAGGGUGUUAUGUAUAAUGCGAUUAGUGGCUGUGCCCCACAGGUAGGACGUGACCUUGAGGUGAAAGAGAAAUUCUGGAAGGAAGUAGUUCUGAGCAUCCCAGACAGAGAGAGAGUCGUGAUUGGUGCAGAUCGUAAUGGGCAUGUUGGUGAAGGAAACAUGGGUGAUGAAGAAGUGAUGGAAGAGGCAGGAACAUAGGGUGACCUACAAGAGCGGAGGUAGAAGCACGCAGGUGGAUUACAUCUUGUGCAGACGAUGUCAUCUGAAGGAGGUUACCGACUGUAAGGAAAGGAGAGGAGACGACUUGGUGGUGGAACCUCACAGUACAGGAAAUCAUACAAGGAAAAAGGUUCGCUAAGAAGAAGCGGGACACUGAGAGGACCGAGGAGAGACGAAAGGAAUACAUUGAGUUGCGACACAGGGCAAAGGUAGAGGUGGCGAAGGCCAAACAAGAGGCAGAUGGUGACAUGUAUGGCAGGUUGGACACUAAAGAAGGAGAAAAGGAUCUAUACAGGCUGGCCAGACAGAGGGAAAGAGAUGGGAAGGAUGUGCAGCAGGUUACGGUGAUUAAGGAUAGAGAUGGAAAUGUGUUGACUGGUGCCAAGGGAGAGUAACAGAGGCAAGUGUGGUGGACCAGGAAGUGGCAAUGAUUAGUAAAGGGGAAGUUAGAAAGGCAUUAAAGAGGAUCAACAAUGGAAAGGCAGUGGAGGUAUGGAAGCAUCUGUGGAGUUCUUGACCUUGUUCAAUAGAAUUCUACCACGUGAGAAGAUGCCUGAGGAAUGGAGGAAAAGUGUGCUAGUGCCCAUUUUUAAGAACAAGGGUGAUGUGCAGAGCUGUGGGGACUAUAGAGGAAUAAUUGAUGAGCCACACAAUGAAGUUCUGGGAAAGAGUGCUGGAGGCUAGACUCAGGACGGAAGUGAGUAUUUGCAAGCAACAGUAUGGUUUCAUGCCUCGACAGAUUACCACAGAUGCAUUAUUUGCCUUGAGGAUGUUGAUGGAAAAGUACAGAGAAGGUCAGAAGGAGCUACAUUGUAUCUCUGUAGAUCAGGGAUCAGCCCUGAGCCCCUUCCUGUUUGCAGCGGUGAUGGAUUGGCUGACAGAUGAGGUUAGACUGGAAUCCCCGUGGACCAUGAUGUUUGCAGAUGACAUUUUGAUCUGCAGUGAAAGCAGGGAGCAGGUGGAGGAACAGUUAGAAAGAUGGAGGCAUGCACUGGAAAGCAGAGGAAUGAAGAUGAAUGAGAGGGAUGGUGGGGGAAGAGUGAGGCUACAGGGAGAAGAGAUAGCAAGGGUGGAGGACUUGAAAUACUUGGGGUCAACAGUCCAGAGCAAUGGUGAGUGUGGUCAGGAAGUGACGAAACGGGUCCAAGCAGGUUGGAACGGGUGGAGGAAGAGUCGCUGCUGGGAUGAAGGGCAAAGUUUAUAAAACAGUGGUGAGGCCAGCCAUGAUGGACAGAUCAGAGACAGUGGAACUGAAGAGACGAUAGGAAGCAGAGCUGGAGGUGGCCGAAAUGAAGAUGUUGAGGUUCGCUCUCGGAGUGACCAGGUUGGAUAAAAUUAGAAAUGAGCUCAUCAGAGGGACAGCCGAGGGUCGAUGUUUUGGAGAGGACGUUAGACAGAGCAGACUUGGAUGGUUUGGACACGUUCAGAGGAGAAAUAGUGAGUAUAUUGGUAGCAGGAUGAUGAGGAUGGAGCUGCCAGGCAAGAGAGCUAGCGGAAGACCAAAGAGAAGGUUGGUGGAUGUCUUGAGAGAAGACAUGAAGAAGAUGAGGGCAGUUGGUGUGAGAGAGGAGGAUGCAGGAGAUAGGCUUACAUGGAAAAGGAUGACACCCUGUGGGACAAGCUCAAAGGAAAAGAUUUCGAACAAGUCACUCACAAAUACAAGCGUUGGCCAAACGUAGGUAUGUACUUUUUCAAUCAACGCAUUCAAUUAAGGUGGGUUAGUAGGAUUAACGAAGAGAAUAAGGGUAGGGAUCAAGGAUGGUAUAAAAGAAAUAAAGGAUGAAUAAAUGAAAGAAAAGAAAGGAGGGAUGGCAGAAGGUUGGAAGGAAACAUGGAUGUGAGUGGAAGGAGGGAAAGUAGCAUGGUAGAAAGGAAAACAAUACCUUGAACUGCUUGACCAC